rnacentral:tRNA from 1 species
GGGUCGUUAGCUCAGUUGGUAGAGCAGUUGACUUUUAAUCAAUUGGUCGCAGGUUCGAUUCCUGCACGGCCCA